GGUUGUGGCUCAAUGGUAGAGCAUUUGCCUAGCAUGUGGGAGGCACUGGGUUUGAUCCUCAGCACCA
rnacentral:tRNA from 1 species